GACAGAGGGUGCAAACGUUGCUCGGAAUUACUGGGCGUAAAGCGCGUGUAGGCGGACCGGAAAGUCGGGCGUGAAAGCCCUAGGCUCAACCUAGGAACUGCACCCGAAACUCCCGGUCUUGAGUGGUGGAGAGGGAAGUGGAAUUCCUGGUGUAGAGGUGAAAUUCGUAGAUAUCAGGAGGAACACCAGUGGCGAAGGCGGCUUCCUGGACACCAACUGACGCUGAGACGCGAAAGCGUGGGGAGCAAACAGG
rnacentral:rRNA from 1 species